rnacentral:rRNA from 1 species
AAAGAAAAUAACAAUGAUUCCCUCAGUAACGGCGAGCGAAGAGGGAUAAGCUCAAAUUUUAAAUCUGUUGGGUUCCACUUAACAGAGUUGUAUUUUGAAGAAACGUUUUCUGCAUCCAGGAUUAGCCUAAAUCCUUUGGGAUAAGGUAUCAUGGAGGGUGAGAAUCCCGUUCAUGGUUAAUCUUAAGGAAGCUCUACGAUACGUUUUCCAAGAGUCGGGUUGUUUGGGAUUGCAGCUCAAAAUGGGAGGUAAAUUUCUCCUAAGGCUAAAUAUUGGCGAGAGACCGAUAGCGAACAAGUACCGUGAGGGAAAGAUGAAAAGAACUUUGAAAAGAGAGUUAAACAGUACGUGAAAUUGUUGAAAGGGAAACGAUUGAAGUCAGUCAUACCAACGGGAAAUCAACCUUUUGAGCUUGGUCUCGUGGGUUUUGAAGAGUUUCAAAGCCUUCGGACUCGCGGGAUUGGGAUCUCUUGGUGUACUUUUUCGUACGGUUAGUCAACAUCGAUUUUGAAUGUCAUAAAAUGACUGGAGGAAUGUAGCUUCGAUCUCGUAUUGGAGUGUUAUAGCCUUUGGUAGAUGUGAUGUUUGAGACCGAGGAUUGCAACGGAUACCCUUCAGGGCUAUUCGUCUGAUCUCUGAUACGUUGCCCUGAUGUUGAAAGCUUGCUUAUGAUGUUAGGGUAUUACGGUCAAAAGGUUAGAACGAAUUACAUUCGUUAA